UGAGUUGGGGUUCGGCUAGAUUAAGAGAAGUGAAGGUGUCGGGUCUGUGAUAUGGCUAAGUGGAUCGGGAUCAAGGAGAGGUGGGUAUGAGUUCAGCCUCAUAGACGUGGGGUUGGGUCUUGAUUGCGGUAGAGAGGAGAGCAGCAGAUAAGGAGGUCGGCCGGUCUUGUGAAGAGCUUGGCUGAAGAGGAAUCGAGAGGGGUUUCAGUUGUAAUCGGAUGGGGGCUUCGGUCGGUUGAAGUCGGAGGCGUCAAAUAGGUGUUAAGGCAGAGGGACGGUCGAGGUAGUGAAGUCGGAGUCGGUACAGGAGUUCGGUUUGGAGAAAAGGUAUGGGGAAGAAGCUCUCUCUCCCUGUUUCUCUUUCUCUCUCUCUUUCUCUCCGCCGAAUGAGGAGAGGGGUCGGUUGGAUGAGUUCGGACGGGAGGGAUAAUGUCGGAUACAGAAAGGAGAACAGGCGAUGGCUUCGGAUUUGGUUUGCCUAUGGAUCGCGGCAAGUGGAUCGGAAGCAACGACGAAGAAAUAGAGAGUGGAAGGUGCAGAGCUUUCGAGUGGAGUUGGGAGGAAGAGAUCGCGUGGGGUGCGGCUGCUUUUGUGGGUGGAAACUUUGUGGGAGAGGAAGAAAGAGCAUGGAUAAAGUUCUCAUAGUUGGGGGGAGUUGAGAGUUACGGAUUGUAGUGGAGAGAGGCGAUCAAAAGGAGGGGGCUGAGUAUAUAAUAGGUUAUUCAGCUCUUUUUUUUUUUAUUUCUCCCCCGGCUGAUAUGACUUGGGCAUCGAUAGUUGACAGGAUAUGAUUUGUGCAGGAUUUAGCAGAGAUAUGGGCAGGUAUGCAAUGAUUUGGUAAAAAAAUUUAUUUCAUUUUUUUUGUUUUCUCUUAUCCAACUGAAUAGAGGUCAACACUACAUAAUAAAGACAAUAUAGCCUUUAUUUUAUUCCUUAAUAGUUUAAUUCAUUUAGGUAGGUAUUUUAAACUUUUGUCUAUAUAAGGGACUCUAGUCAUGUAUUAAAUUUUUUUAUGAAUUGAGAUUCCACCUUUAAGGUUGUCUACUUCUUGCUUCAUCUCUCUCUCUUUUUCUCGCCUCUCUCCCUCUUGAGACAUUCUUUUCAUCUAAUUCUUCAAUUUCUUCAUCUCUCAACCUCUUUAAUACUCUUAUAUUGAAUUUUGCCAACUCCAACUAUGCUCCUCUAUAUCAAUUUGGUAUCAUUACCAAACCUAUUCCAUGUCCCUUCCAAUCCCAAGCAUUGUCUACCCCUAUCCCCUCAACUACCAAAAUUGUUGUCUCAUCACUAAUUCACCAUUGCUUCAACACGAAUACCCUAACAACACAUUCUUUGUCCUUCUAACAACUCCACUCAAUCAACCCUCCGCACUGAAUCAUCCAAUAUCAGUCGCAUCCACUAAGUCAAGUGCAAUUGUUCCUAUCCAAUUCACAUAGCCUUGCCACUUUGAACACACCACCCCAACAACCUCUUUCAAGUCCUUCUGCAAACUUGUAUUUGUCUCAUCACCCACACAUGCUCUUCAUACUUGAUGUCACAAAAUCUUUUUAGAUGCAUCACACUCGCACGCCAUGCACUCAUUGGAUCACAGGUGAUAAUUCUGUCACAUGCCCUAGCAUGCAAUACACUCAGUUGUCACCACCCUACAUUUGAUCACAUUUAUUUGCACACCCACGGCACAUAAACCUCUUAACCACUUGCAAUUAUUGAUACAUUGAUCACAUCAAUUACGCCCAUUCUAGCACUCUAUGAAGCUUCGCCAACAAGUCAUACCCAAAUUAAUACAAGCAAAGUCACAUGCACAUAGUGCUAGUCACAUGCGCAUAGGGCUCAUUUAUCUGCUUAAAAUAUCCCUUACACUAACCUUAUUUAAAAGAAAUAAAAGUUGAUUCAAUUUGAUUUAUUUCAUUUAGUUGCGCAUCAAAAAUUUAAUGUUUCAAAGAUAUAUUUCUAAAAUAAAUUAUGUUCUGAACAAUGAAAUAUGAAA